GACGCAGCGCGUAUCCCCGUAAACACGAAACAAAAACAUCGCGGCAUCCGCGCUGGUGGUUAGAACUCUUUACUCUAGUGUACAUCUUAAUUUCUGAUUGCAUAGUAUAUAAUUUAUCAUGUCAGUUUUUUGGGUCAUUGUUGUUUCUUCUUUGCGAGACUCGCUGGUUGUGGAAGGAGUUCAUACACAAGUUUUGCAAAUGCUGUUACGUGAUCUCAAAACGAUAUUUAAUAUUCAUAUUUUUUUGGUAAUUAAAACUAAUUCAUCUGUCGUGCAUAGCGAUAUUUAAAAUUCUUUUCGUUGAUUAAGUUUUUAUAUGUGAAAUGCUAUGCCGAAAAAUAAAAAAAAAUAUGGUAAUGCAAAUCGUUUUCUUGUAUUGCCCGUAAUAAUUUAUCUCCGUAGAACAAGUAGAUAAAAAAUCCAAGAAAAGUCACGGUUAUUUUGAAGUAAUAUGUUCGUAUAUUGUUUUUCUGAUACGUUGAGUGAAGCGUCAUUUACUGAGAACUUGAUAUUUCGAUGCGUAGAAGUGGUUUCACGUCGUAGUGUACAAUUCAUUACGACUUUGUCUUUGGGCAAUAGUUACAUUACGUACUGUUGCCAAAAAUGUGAAACACAGAGUACCAAGCACUGCUAUUGCUUCCAUGUUUUAAUUUGAAUAUUUGUAACGGAGUGAUAGUAAUUUGUGUAUAACGAUGUAAUGUUGCCACACAUUAUCAAACAUCGUAAGCUGUAGAAAAAUGUGCGAUGGCUUGAAAAAUGGUUCAAGACAUGCUGAAAAUUAAACAAAGAGAGUUCAUUCUGAAGUGCUACUGGAAGACUGAGAAUUGAAGUGGAAUGCAAAGUUUCAACAAAAUGCACCAACUUGACUCACAAUGACUCAUUUGUGAGAUAAAUUUGGGGAAGCAGGAACUGUCCAGAGUGCCAACAAGAACUAUUCUGGAAGACUAUGAUCAUCCACAGUUCCACAAGAGUAAGAGAAGUCAUUGAAAGGUUUCAAUAAUCUUCUAGAAAGUCUGUGUGGCAAGGGGAAUUCCAAAGACAAGUGUCCAUCGCAUUUGGAAGCAUACCCAAUGGAAAAGUUUUAUUCCUAGAUUACUCCAGGCUCUGAAUGAGAAUGAUCAUGACUGGAAAAUUGAAUUUUGUGAGUGGUAUCAAGCAAGAUGCCCAGAGCACAAAAAAUUCCCAUACAAGGAUUUUUGGAGCGAUGAUGCCACUUUUAAGUUAAAUCAUUCAGUUAAUCAUCACAAUUAUACCUACUGGCCAGCUGAGAAUCCUCAUGUGAAACUUAACAGUGGAACACCUUGUGAAUCUACCAGGAGUUAGUGUGGUGUGGUUUAUCAGUAUGAGAUGUUUCAAGAUGGAGAACGGUAUUUUCAGUUCAAUUUGAGCACCUCCUCACUACCUUCGUGAACACUUAUGGACAGAUCAACAGGAGAAAGAGGCAGUGCCGGGUACCCUCCACGCUCACCAGAUUUGACCUCUAUAGAUUUAUUUUUUCAGUGAGGCGGCAUAUGAAGCACAAUGCUUAUAGCACGAGACAAGUUACAAUCAGUGUGUUGAAAGUAGCCAGGUAAACUAAUGUGCCAAAGUACAGGGUGAUUCAAAAAGAAUACCACAACUUUAAAAAUGUGUAUUUAAUGAAAGAAACAUAAUAUAACCUUCUGUUAUACAUCAUUACAAA